CAACCGUUCAGACGACCCCGACCUGUGAGGACAUCCGUUGCCAAAAGGGGAUGGUGUGCAAAAUGCUGGAGGGGUGGCCCAAAUGUGUUGGCCCCAUACCAUCAUGUGGGGACAUCCAAUGUUCCCUGGGCACCGUGUGCAAGAUGGUCAACGGUUGGCCAAAAUGUGCCCACGAACCGCUCUCUUGCAGCAACAUCCACUGCCAGAAGGGGACCACGUGCCAGAUGGUGGAUGGAUGGCCACGCUGCAUCCAACUCAAGGUAUCUCCAAGGAAGCCUUCCUGCAGUGACCUCCAUUGUCCGAAGGGAACCACGUGUAAGAUGAUGGAUGGACAUCCCCAAUGUGUCCAAAAUCAACCUACCUGCAGUGACAUCCAGUGCCAGAAAGGAACCACGUGCCAGAUGGUGGAUGGUUGGCCACGGUGUGUCCAACUCAAGGUAUCUCCAAGGAAGCCUUCCUGCAGUGACCUCCAUUGUCCGAAGGGCACUACUUGUAAGAUGAUGGAUGGACAUCCC
ensembl:lncRNA